AUUUGAUCCAUAGCUUCAAAGAUGACACACAUCCCUGCGCCAUCUCUAUCAACUAUGUUUAACAGCUUUAGAAUUGGGGCCAUGAUCACGAGAAGCUCAGAAUACUACAUCCAAAACUCACUAUUCUUCACUAGGGCUUCCACUUCGUCUGCUCCAGACACAGGGAGGCAAAUCCACGCCCGCAUUGCGCAGAGCGAGCACCGCCGCAACAAAUACCUCGCGAAUCUGCUCGUCCAGAUGUAUGGCAAAUGCGGCAGCGUCGAUGACGCCCCGUGCAAUCUUGGAAUCCAUAGAGAAUCCUAAGCUCUUCUCCUCCCAAAUCAUGAUCCAGGCCUACGCACAGGCGAAAUAUCUAAAUCGAGCGCGCAGAACGUUCGAUGGGAUGCUCCGGCGAGAUGCCUCGACGUGGAACUCGAUCGUCACGGCAUAUGCCGACAACGGGCAUCUUGAUAAAGCGCGAGAGAUUUUCGAAUUGGCUCCAGAGAAGAGCGAGAUCUCUUGAAAUGUGAUGAUCACGCUUUGCAUCCGCAGUGGAAAGAUAGCUUCUGCCAAGGAUUUCUUUGAUCGGAUGCCCGUGAAGACAAUCGUUGCGCAGACUGCCCUCGUCACAGCAUUUGCCAGGAAAGGGCAUUUGGAAGAAGCCGAGGCUUUGUUUGAGAACAUAAAGAGUCAUGGGCUUUUGGCUCUCGCUGUCUACAGACAACUCCAACCGAACAGCAAAUGCAGGCAACUGCAUUUGAGGUGAAAAGGCUACUGAUUGCCGGAAAGCAGAAAGAGGCUUUACGGGCUGCCCAAGACGGGCAACUUUGGGGAUGUGCUCUUCUUAUGGCCCGGCAGCUGGGAGAGAAGUGGAGAUGGCUCAACGUCAGUUUCAACCCUCCGGACUCUAACUCUUCUUUAUGCUGGUCAACAUGCCGGAGUGUUCAUAGGGAACACUAAUUCGUCGAACGUAACAGCGCUUCAACCUCAACCGGUUCCAGCGUCCGCUGUAGAUGGUGCAACACAGGACGCAGUAGAAGGAAUGCUCGAAGAAUGGCAGGAAAACCUGGCUAUAAUGGCAGUUAACCGAACUAAUGGGGACGAGAGAGUGAUUAUGCAUCUUGGUGAUUGUCUCUGGAGACAUCGAGAUGAGAUAUGUGGAGCCCAUAUUUGCUAUCGUGUUGCAAAUGCUAGUUUUGAGCCUUUCUCUACUUCUGCCGGACUUUGUCUUAUAGCUGCCGACCAUUGUAUCCACGCACGUACGCUAGUCCAGAAGCUAUCCAGCGAAUGGAAGAAUUUGCAAGAAUGACCGGCAAUUCCCAGUUUAUUUUACUUCCUUUUCAGCCAUACAAGCUUAUUUAUGCGUCGAUGCUUGCUGAAGCUGGAAAGAUAAACGAAGCUUUAAGCUGAUGUGUGCAAAGAAGCGGCUGUAGCCUUGGAAGAGCGUCUUCGUAUCCACUCUCAGGGAGGCUCGACGUCAAUUGUGCAACGGUUUUUUGGCAAUAUUGGUCUACACAAGAUGAUAGGCCCUUCUUCCCCGAAAGCUUCUGAUAUGCUGAUAUUAAUAACUGUCCUGCAACAGCUAGUGUAUCACUUGCCUCGUCAGCAUCAAUGGAACCCAUAAGUGAUAAUACGAGAAGAUCCAACAUGCCAGCAAGAAGCAUUUCACAGGCCUGCACAGAUCGUUAGUCCAACGAAAGGAACGCCAAACAGAGACGUCUUUACUUCUUUCGUGCAAAGAGCGAUGGGCUUCAUAAAAACACCUUCGAAGGAGGCAAAGCUUGGCGACAGCAACAAGUUUAGAUACGACGAGACACUGAAGCGCUGGGUUGAAGAAGGAGCCGAGGCACAAGCGCCAGAGCUUCCGUUGGCUCCUCCUCCCACGGCAAACAAGCUCGUCUCGCGCGUGGAGGAGAACGGCGCUCCUAUUUCCAUGUCUCCAGAGAGACGACAGCCAACUCCGGAAAGGCCGCAACCGGUUGUGAGUGGAAUCCCACACUCCAAUCUCACGAGGUUUUUGCAGAUAUGUCGAUACAUUCAACAAAGGUAGCGUAACACCAUCCAAGACAUCAUCGGACUCUCCUCCACUGUUUGGCGUGGUGCCAAAGGCAAGCGCAAAGCCUUUGGCUGCAGCGAGAUUUUUCGUGCCUGCGGCCGCUGCUGCCGCUGCUCCAGAUAUCAACAGCAACCAUUCGGUGGAUCCUUCCUCGGCACCGGCCUUUGUCCCCGACACGGCAUUCUCAAACGGGAAUGGACCGUUUGCAGCAGCAGCAUUCGCUCAGCCGGUUGUACAGGAUAUGAGAAACGAUCCGGGGCCAACGCCUGAUCAUCUCUCGAGUGGCUCUUCGCCAGCAAUGUUCUAUUUGAAUCACUAUCCAGCAGCACCGUUGACCAUCUCGUUGCCGCCACCUCCCAGCUCUGGAAGUCACUCUGCCAGUGAUGGUCGAGCAGCAGCAGCAAAACCAACACCAGGAAAGUUUGAUUCAUCGGCCAUCAACAGUCCGGCACAGUGGGAUUCGAAGCUGCCAGUUCCUCUGGAGUGUUUGGAGACGACUUGCAAGAGGUGGAAUUGUAAAUCACACUCCACAAGUAAGUAGUAGUGGGUGGAUUUUGGUAGAGCAGUGUAGCGAAGUAGUAGUCGGGAUUUUUUUUGGCUGGGGUGAUUCUUUGGAGCCACGAGCGAAGCUAGGAAGCAAGAUAAAUAAAAUGGAUCAAACAAUAUAAUUCAGGAA